rnacentral:rRNA from 1 species
UACGUAGGGUGCGAGCGUUAAUCGGAAUUACUGGGCGUAAAGCGUGCGCAGGCGGUUCGCUAAGACCGAUGUGAAAUCCCCGAGCUCAACUUGGGAAUUGCAAUGGAUACUGGCAGGCUGGAGUAUGGUAGAGGAAGGUGGAAUUCCCGGUGUAGCAGUGAAAUGCGUAGAGAUCGGGAGGAACACCAGUGGCGAAGGCGGCCUUCUGGACCAAUACUGACGCUCAUGCACGAAAGCGUGGGGAGCAAACAGG